rnacentral:rRNA from 1 species
AAUACUUAGGAAUCUGCCUAUUAGUGGGGGACAACAUUUCGAAAGGAAUGCUAAUACCGCAUACGCCCUACGGGGGAAAGCAGGGGAUCUUCGGACCUUGCGCUAAUAGAUGAGCCUAAGUCAGAUUAGCUAGUUGGUGGGGUAAAGGCCUACCAAGGCGACGAUCUGUAACGGGUCUGAGAGGAUGAUCCGUCACACUGGGACUGAGACACGGCCCAGACUCCUACGGGAGGCAGCAGUGGGGAAUAUUGGACAAUGGGGGCAACCCUGAUCCAGCCAUGCCGCGUGUGUGAAGAAGGCCUUUUGGUUGUAAAGCACUUUAAGCGAGGAGGAGGCUCCUGUAGAUAAUACCUACAGUGAGUGGACGUUACUCGCAGAAUAAGCACCGGCUAACUCUGUGCCAGCAGCCGCGGUAAUACAGAGGGUGCGAGCGUUAAUCGGAUUUACUGGGCGUAAAGCGUGCGUAGGUGGCCAAUUAAGUCAAAUGUGAAAUCCCUGAGCUUAACUUAGGAAUUGCAUUCGAUACUGGUUGGCUAGAGUAUGGGAGAGGAUGGUAGAAUUCCAGGUGUAGCGGUGAAAUGCGUAGAGAUCUGGAGG